rnacentral:rRNA from 1 species
GCCCUUAGAUGUUCUGGGCCGCACGCGCGCUACACUGACAGAGCCAACGAGUUCUUCACCUUGGCCGGAAGGUCCGGGUAAUCUUGUGAAACUCUGUCGUGCUGGGGAUAGAGCAUUGCAAUUAUUGCUCUUCAACGAGGAAUUCCUAGUAAGCGUGAGUCAUCAGCUCGCGUUGAUUACGUCCCUGCCCUUUGUACACACCGCCCGUCGCUACUACC